ensembl:lncRNA
GUUUUCAAGCCGGGCUGUCGGUCUUCUGCACUCAGACUGGAACUUACACCAGUGGCUCGCCCAGGCCUCCAGCUUGCCGACUGCUGAUUUUUGGACUUGACAGCCUCCACCUCCACAGCGGCAUGAAAAAUUCCUCAUCAUCAAUCUCUCUAUGCAUAUAUCCUAUCUAUCCUUUCGGUUCUAUUUCUCUGGGGACCCCUAGAACAACACGCAAGGUGAGAGGCCCUUGAGGAGGACUGACUGUGGCUCGCUGGUCUAAAGCUCUAAGCUGCUACUGCUGCUGACUCCAGCUCUGCAGAAGAUACAGUGGUGACAUCUCCUGGGCUUGGACAGCCAUGCUCCCAGACAAGAGCUUCUGCUGUGCUCCCAGAUGAGAGCCAGAGCCCCACCUGUCAGGAGGCCACACUCAUGCCCAGGACUUCUGGGCCUCGGCAGUGCUCCCAAGGGUGUGGCACCAGGUGCAGCAGGGCAGCAGGUGGAAUGCAGGAGCAGGCAGGAAAAUCCAACUCUUCCGAGUCAGACACUCGAGAGCUCUGCAGACACGAAGACAAUGCCACGCCGCCCCCUAAAUGCUUUUUGUUUUGGAAAAUACAGCUGUUUGUCAUAAGAUAACCGGAAGCAGCAGAGAAAACAUCUGAAGUGCUUCCUGGACACACUGGUUAGGAAGUUUCUGCAAGAACCCAGGUUCUCCUCCCCACCAGACUCGGAGAUUUUAACUUGAUCAUCUCUGCAAAGACCUUAUCUUCAAAUACAGUUACAUUCUGAGGUCCUGGUAGUUAGGGCUGCAACACCCGAAUUGGAGGGGACGUAAUCCAGCUCCUGACAAUACCGCAUAUGACAGCUGCGUCUCUGCCUGUAGUACUGUUUUUUCCAGUGAAAGCAUCUGUGAAUGUAUUCAGAAAGCCUCCUUUUGGGGCCAGGCCUUGCAGAGAAUCCUUCAGAAACUGGACAACGCCACCCAAGGCAGUCAGUGGGGAGGACGCAUUGGGUGCCUCAUUGGUCCCUGGAUCUGCCUCACAGUCCUCUAUGUUCUUCCUCAUUCCCUCUCCUCUUUCUCCGCUUUGGUUGACCUUGACGCUCAUUCCUGGGGAAGGCCCCGGUGGGAGCAGUGCAGUGACAAGAGGAGCCUGUUUCCGUCAGCACCCUCACGCUCUCCAGUGGUCCACUGGAGACACCUGUGACCUCCUCAUGCUAAGGAGCCCAGAGUGGGCAGCCCUCGGGCCCAGGCUCCAUCUGGAUGAAUAAACUGAGGCAAGAUAUAGUGACUCAGCUGAGGCCACACCGCAGUUUAAUGGGGAAGCCAGGAUGAGAGCUGGCGGCUUCUAUGUCUGUGAUCUACACUCUGGUGGCAGAGGACGUCAGAGACCCAUGUCAACGGUGAGGAGGUGACAUGCUGGUCCCUUCCAUAAAAGCUGUUUCAUAAAAUUAAAACACACACACAGUAAAGAUCCAGAUUUACAGAAGUGAGCAUGAGGGGCUAUUUGCCAGUCAACAGAUCUCCCCCAGUGGUUCUUCACUUGGGGCUGAGAUGCUACUGACCGGCAGGGCCUGGGGAGAGAACUUCUUGCUCCCCCUAGAGCUGGCUGACCCAUACGCAGGGGAUUCUGAGCGCUAGGGGCUGGGAGCAGCAUGUGCCACGUGUUUCCCAGGAGUUAGUCAUGUUUGCUCCUAAAACCUAUUGCAAUCGAGGAAUCUAAUUAAACAACACAGCAACUGCAGAAACAGUGCAAAAAGAAUGAGUGACUGUUUCUAUGAAAACUUAGAUGAACUACUUUGGAAAGAUUCAAUAAAGAGCAUGCCUAAAUAUAUACACUGGGGCUAGGAGCAGUGGUUCAAACCUGUCACCCCAGUGCUUUGGGAGGCUAAGGUGGGAAGGUGGUUUGAGGCCAGGAAGUUGAAACCAGCCUGGGCAACAUAGCAAGACCCUGUCUCUACAAAAAAAAAAAAAAAAA